rnacentral:rRNA from 1 species
ACGAACGCUGGCGGCGUGCUUAACACAUGCAAGUCGAGCGGGAAGGCCCUUUCGGGGGUACUCGAGCGGCGAACGGGUGAGUAACACGUGAGUAAUCUGCCCUUGGCUUCGGGAUAGCCACCGGAAACGGUGAUUAAUACCGGAUACGACACAUCACUGCAUGGUGCGUGUGUGGAAAGUUUUUUCGGCCAGGGAUGUGCUCGCGGCCUAUCAGCUUGUUGGUGGGGUAAUGGCCUACCAAGGCUUCGACGGGUAGCCGGCCUGAGAGGGUGACCGGCCACACUGGGACUGAGACACGGCCCAGACUCCUACGGGAGGCAGCAGUGGGGAAUAUUGGACAAUGGGCGGAAGCCUGAUCCAGCAACGCCGCGUGAGGGAUGACGGCCUUCGGGUUGUAAACCUCUUUCAGCACAGACGAAGCGCAAGUGACGGUAUGUGCAGAAGAAGGACCGGCCAACUACGUGCCAGCAGCCGCGGUAAUACGUAGGGUCCGAGCGUUGUCCGGAAUUAUUGGGCGUAAAGGGCUCGUAGGCGGUUUGUCGCGUCGGGAGUGAAAACACCGGGCUUAACUCGGUGCUUGCUUUCGAUACGGGCAGACUAGAGGUAUUCAGGGGAGAACGGAAUUCCUGGUGUAGCGGUGAAAUGCGCAGAUAUCAGGAGGAACACCGGUGGCGAAGGCGGUUCUCUGGGAAUAUCCUGACGCUGAGGAGCGAAAGUGUG